GCUCUCAGCCAAGCGGUUAAUGCAACAGAAUCUAAAUCUGUCUGCGUGGGUUCAAAACCCACCAAAGAUGAAAUCA